GGGAACGCCGUGCCGGGUGCUGGUGUAAUACGGGGGGUGCAAGCGUUAUCCGGAUUGAUUGGGUUUAAAGGGUCCGUAGGCGGACCGGUAAGUCAGUGGUGAAAGCCUACAGCUUAACUGUAGAACUGCCGUUGAUACUGUCGGUCUUGAGUGUGGUUGAGGUAGCUGGAAUGAGUAGUGUAGCGGUGAAAUGCAUAGAUAUUACUCAGAACACCAAUUGCGAAGGCAGGUUACCAAGUCACAACUGACGCUGAUGGACGAAAGCGUGGGGAGCGAACAGGAUUAGAUACCCGUGUAGUC
rnacentral:rRNA from 1 species